rnacentral:sRNA from 1 species
AGCUCUGCCUUACUUGCUGUUUUCUCGUCACCUUCUUUGUGACAAAAGUAACUGUUUAAGGUGGCUGAGGAGCUCCACAAAGGUGUCUUAAGAGACACUGCAAAGAAACAAGAGUCUAGCUCCAUCGCCCAAGCUGGAGUGCAAUGGUAUAAUCAUAGCUCACUGCAGCCUCAACCCUCUGGGCUCAAGCAAUCCUCCUGUCUCAGCCUCCCAAGUAGCUAGAACUACAGAGAGGAAAAAAGAACUGGAAUUGGAAGGACAGUGAGAUUGAAGGGUAGCGAGAGAGGCUGGAGAAGAGAGUGAAGAGACUGCUUACCCGAUUUGAAAUCAGUGAGAUGUUCCUUGGGCUGGUCUGAGGACCUGAGGUCAUAGGUGGAUCUCCUCACGGAGUGAGGGCGAAGACAGGGGACCGGUCUCCCGAAGGAGUCCUUCUGUCCCAGGUCUUUGGCACCAAAUGUUACACGCGUCCGUGUGAAGAGGCUUUGUGUGAGCAAUAAAGCUUUUUAAUCACCUGGGUGCAGGUGGACUGAGUCCAAAAAAGGAGUCAGCAAAGGGAGAUAGGAGUG